rnacentral:lncRNA from 1 species
AAUCCAGUGUCAAAUAAUACAGUCAGUCUUCCUACAUUUUCAGCCUACCUCAAAAAGCUGAAACAAUCACAUCCCAAUGCUACUUUUGACGAAAUAGAGCAAACACUACUCCAUGUUUUUGCUCCCGAUACAACUAUGCCAGUAACUUCAGAAGAAACAGUCCAAUCAGGAAAUCCCCUAUUGGAUGAUUUCAGCCAGAGGCCUACAGACUGAAUGACCCGACCCAACGGUUCGAUUCCCUUCUUCAGCACCGAUAUGACUGCUACAGCAUAAAGAAAGAUAAAAUAUUCCCUUUUCCAAAUAAGACAAAAUAAAGACACGACAUUACACAGGAAAGAUUCCCUUUUCAUAUGAAGACAAAUCCACGUU